rnacentral:snoRNA from 1 species
CCUGCCCCUAGAGGUGUUGCAGGUGUGGCUGCUGUGUCAUGUGUGCGGUCAGUAGGUGGCAGAGAGGAGAGAGCCUAUGUCUGCGCUCAGUGCUCUGAAGUAUGAACAUCUGAAUGAUUAGUAAUCUAACAUU